CAAAUGUUCUCUGAGUUCUCCUAGCCUGAUCACCAAAAAACAGUAAAAAGAAGAAGCUGACUAUAACAGUGUGGUGGAGACAGCAAGAUUUGGUCUACCAAUAAAAUUUCCAAGACAAUGAACUCUACAAAGAACUUGCAGGCUGGAAUACAUCUACACCCACUUUCUGAAAUGCUUACUGUGGUGGUUCACACACUAUGACCUUAGUUGAAAACAGCAGACACCAUACCAUGUUAGCAAGCUUAUAAACAAAAAUGUCACAAUGGUUUGGAAAGGCAGUGACAGUAGAUCUGAAACUGCCACUAAUAUAAAGCCAGCGUAGAAGAAGGGGAGCAUAGGGGUCAUUUUCACAGUCAUCUCAUUAAGAGAUUUGUCCAAUGGCACUAUUCAUAGCUCUGAAAAUACUAAUUACCGUUUUCUUUGUGAUGUAAUCACUCACAAGAUUUUAGACACGGUGCACCAUGUGGCAAAAGGGGUUUCUGAAAGGGAACAGUCCUUAACUACAUUGAUGAACUUUUAGUAGAUUUGCCUCUAUGAACGAAAAAAAGGAAGAAUAAAACUCCCAGUAUUCCCAAGGGAUUCAGUUUGGGCCAAUGACCUGGAGAGGAAUGCAAUAUACCACUUUCUUGCCUGUUUCAUAAAAUGCAAUGUGUGACUAUCCAUGAAGGCAACCAUGGAGACCACGUGUUGACUAUGGCUCCAACGCAUGACAAAGGAAAACCACCUCAAAUGAUAGAAGAAAAGAAACAAACCUUUACUUACUAAGCCACUGAGAUUCCAGAGCUUGUUUAUGACUGUACCAUAAGAAAGCCCUACCUGACCCAUUAAGAAAGUGGUACUGGCAAUGGAGACUACCAUCGUAAGACUUUUAAGAUGUGCCAAGGCAUCAGGUACCAAAGAAUAUAGUGAUCCAAACUUCAUGUGCUUUGAAGAUAACCCAAGGAAUAAUCCAAGGAUAGGUUUGCAAUGUGAUUCUAGGACUGCUGGAUCCUGGGAAAAGUGUGUGAAUAUCUUCUGGAUCUAUUGCUCUGAUACUUCUAUUGAGGGUAAUUUUUUUUCUGUUUUGUCAGAUAAUUAGUUUUGUGCAAUGUUGAGAGUUAGUAUACAUCUCACACUAGCUUUACUCAAUAUCCUGGGAAUGUUUAAAAUAAAAGACAUACCAAACAAGAAAGAUAAAUAUAA
rnacentral:lncRNA from 1 species